AUUUUUAUGUUUUCAUGCUCAUUCCAUUCUACUGUUUUCCACAGAGUGUCUUCAUACGGAGGCUUUCUCUGCAAAGAAAAAUGCAGCGGCACCGACAGAAAAGAAGUAAUACUGCUCCCUUGGAGGAAUCCAGGCCAGAACUAACAAAAGAGGUGGCAUUGGCAGAGUUGCAGUUAUUGGCUUCGAACAGCUUAAAAGGGGCCACAACAACUACGAAAGGGUUUUGUGCCUCUUGAGAGCCACAUACCAAGACCGCUGCCAACACCACGUAGACCCCUUGCCAAAUUAUUUUUUGGUGGAAGAAACUCUUUGUGCUGAGCUCCAACUGCGCUUUGGAUUCACUGUGGAUGAAGCGGAAGAACGGCUAAAAAAGGCGUCACAAGUUUUCUCAGAGGAGGAAGGAAGGGAAACUUCAUUUUUAGAGCUCUCGAAGCACUUGCAAGGUUCGUCAGAGCACUCACUGAUCAUUGAGGCUGCUCUACCGACAGAAAUAAAAAUUGCUGCACCACACGUAUAUGUAUACAAGGACCAAGCUUGGGUAUAUGGAGGCAGCAAGGAAGAAGUAAUUCACCUGAAG
rnacentral:lncRNA from 1 species